rnacentral:rRNA from 1 species
GACGAACCGUGCGAACGUUAUUCGGAAUCACUGGGCUUAAAGCGCGUGUAGGCGGGACGGCACGUCGGUCGCUGAAAUCCCCCGGCUUAACCGGGGAACGGGCGUCGAUACGACCGUCCUGGAGGGGCGUAGGGGGACCUGGAACUUCCGGUGGAGCGGUGAAAUGCGUUGAGAUCGGAAGGAACGCCCGUGGCGAAAGCGGGUCUCUGGACAGUUCCUGACGCUGAGGCACGAAGGUCAGGGGAGCAAACGGG